rnacentral:tRNA from 1 species
GCCUGGUUGGCUCAGUUAGUGAAGCGUCUGACUUUGAUUCAGGUCAUGACCUCAUGGUUUGUGGGUUCAAGCCCCGCAUCAGGCU